rnacentral:lncRNA from 1 species
UUUAUAAAUGAAUAUAUAACAUUUAAUCAUGUAUAUAUUUUUAAUAAUUUAAUAACUUAAAAAAACACCACACUUUAUUAUAUAUGUAAAAUGUAAAUAGAAGCUACAUUCUUAUUUCAUGAAAUAACAUCAUAGAGAAUGUGAUGGCAGAGUUCAUUCUCAGUAAUAUAUGUGAUACUAAUUAGGAAUCAAACUGUCUUCAAUGGCUGGAUGGAGGUGGAGGUGGAGGUGGAGACAUGAAAGGAAUGGAAGGCAAGCUGCUACUGGGAAGUGGUGGAAGAACAGUGAUAGGCUUAGGCUAAGAUGGUGGGAUUGUUGGUAGCUUCGGGAUUCAAGGCAAUGGAGGUAUGCAGGGUUGAGCUGAGAAUGAUGGUAGAUCUAGGAUUGAAGGCAAUGGAAGUAUGUUGGGCAACUUACGAAGUGGUGGUAGUUCUAAGUUCUGGGAUUGAAGGAAAUGGUGGUGGUUCUGGGAUUAAAGGAAGUGGUGACAUCGGAGGUGGCAAUGGUACCGGUAAAUAUGCAGAUGGCAAUGGUACUGGUAAAAAUGGAGGUGGCAAUGGUAUUGGCGACAAUGGAGGUAGCAAUGGUACUGGUGACAAUGGUAUUGGCGACAAUGGAGGUGGCAAUGGUAUUGGUGGAAAUGGAGGUGGCACUUGCUGAAGAUUUCGGGUUGCUAGGCUAACCUCCAUGCUUGAAAAACCCAAGGAAAUGAAGCAGGCUAAUAAAAUGAAAACGUUGGAAGCUGCCAUUUUUUUUUGGAGAGAUGAACUAAAGAUUGAAGAUUUGAGUUGAGGAAAGCAGGAUUGGUUUCGGGUAUUUAUAGCCACAUUUGAAGGAGUUUUUUAAUUAUUUGUUUGAGAUAUUACUCCCC